GAUGAACGCUGGCGGCGUGCCUAAUACAUGCAAGUCGAGCGAACAGGUAAGGAGCUUGCUCCUUUGACGUUAGCGGCGGACGGGUGAGUAACACGUGGGUAACCUACCUAUAAGACUGGGAUAACUUCGGGAAACCGGAGCUAAUACCGGAUAAUAUUUCGAACCGCAUGGUUCGAUAGUGAAAGAUGGUUUUGCUAUCACUUAUAGAUGGACCCGCGCCGUAUUAGCUAGUUGGUAAGGUAACGGCUUACCAAGGCGACGAUACGUAGCCGACCUGAGAGGGUGAUCGGCCACACUGGAACUGAGACACGGUCCAGACUCCUACGGGAGGCAGCAGUAGGGAAUCUUCCGCAAUGGGCGAAAGCCUGACGGAGCAACGCCGCGUGAGUGAUGAAGGUCUUCGGAUCGUAAAACUCUGUUAUUAGGGAAGGACAUACGUGUAAGUAACUGUGCACGUCUUGACGGUACCUAAUCAGAAAGCCACGGCUAACUACGUG
rnacentral:rRNA from 1 species